GAGGACUUGAGCAAAGCAGAAAACUCUUCCGUUGUAGUAGGUGCAAAUGAGCAUAGAACAGCAGAGGGAGUGGGGUUGGGUGAUGUAUUGAAAGGGGAAGGAGAGAGGUUAGAGAUCUCUUCCCUGAUUGUAGAAAUCUUCUCAGUGAAGUGAGGAAGUGAGUUGCAAAGUUUGAGGCAGACAGGGUGGUAGGAGGAGGGGAAGGAACAGG